UACGUAGGGGGCAAGCGUUACCCGGAUUUACUGGGCGUAAAGCGCGUGUAGGCGGCUGGCCAAGUGUGGUGUGAAAUCCCCCGGCUCAACCGGGGAACUGCAUUGCAAACUGGUCUGGCUAGAGUGCAGGAGAGGGAAGUGGAAUUCCCGGUGUAGCGGUGGAAUGCGCAGAUAUCAGGAGGAACACCGGUGGCGAAGGCGGGUCUCUGGGCCGAUAUUGACGCUGAGGAGCGAAAGCGUGGGGAGCGAACAGG
rnacentral:rRNA from 1 species